rnacentral:lncRNA from 1 species
CAAGAUCAUAAUGCACACCAUCAUAAGACCACGGAGCAUAAUCAGGAAUCUGGUCAACAUCAAGUACCAGCACAAGCAAUCUGGCUAUCCCCCUCUUGCGUGUAAAGGGCAUAUCUACUUUCUCAGUCUUCCCAAUCAACGAACCAAGGCUCCAUGUGAUAAGAAAGUCAUUAAGCAAAAUUUCUGGAAUACCUGUAAAUCGGAUCCAAACCUUCUGCAACCUAGUACCCUGUGGUGCUGGUUUAAUG